rnacentral:miRNA from 1 species
UUGAAGGAUUUGUAAGAAAUGUUUGAGGAAACUGGCUCGUUGUUUAACACUGAAUCAGUUUGCUCAAACAUUUCUUACAAAUCCUUCAA